UACGAAGGGUGCAAGCGUUGUUCGGAUUUAUUGGGCGUAAAGCGCGCGCAGGCGGGCCUGCAAGUCAGAUGUGAAAUCUCGGAGCUCAACUUCGAAAUGGCGUCUGAAACUACAGGUCUAGAAUACUGGAGAGGGUAACGGAAUAUCGCAUGUAGGGGUAAAAUCCGUAGAGAUGCGAUGGAACAUCAGAGGCGAAGGCGGUUACCUGGCCGGUUAUUGACGCUGAGGCGCGAAAGCGUGGGGAGCAAACAGG
rnacentral:rRNA from 1 species